AUCAAGGCUAUGAAAGGAACAAGUAAUUUUUCCAUCCCUGGUUAAAGAGAACUGUCGGCUGGUGAAAGGCAGUCCAAAUGGAAAAAUGAAUUACAGCCCGGAGCUUUUGCUGAUUAUUUUUAAUUGGCAGCGGUGAUGAGCCGUUAUUUCAUGAGUUGGAGGAACGGUGUUUCCUCAAGCCGGGUGGUACCGCGCGAUCUAUACGCGUCCCUGCA
rnacentral:ncRNA from 2 species